CCAAUCGAAAGGGACAUGAAAAGCAGUCCCGUGCCGCCACGGCAUCUGAGUUCCGAAAUAAAAUGAC
ncrna:unclassified sequences lysM-Prevotella RNA